UCUCUUUUAACUUAGGGAGCCUCACUGAACACACCUCUGGGAGUGAAGCAGCUUUGCCUUGUCCAGUGAGCAUCAGCUCAGCUUUGCUUUUGUAGCUCUGGCUAUCUUGGUAGUUUCAAAGCUGUCACUGAGCUAGCUGUGUGACCAUAGGUGACUUUACUGGGCCUCAGUCCUCUCAAACGGGGAUGAUAAUAGUACUUCCUCAGAGAACUAUUUAAGGCUUAAGUGAGAGAAUCCACACAAGCACUAGACAUGGUGCGUGGCACACAGUGAGCAUUUUUGUAAACGUCAGGGGAAGGGAAUAGCUGUGGAAUAGGCAGAAAUCCCUGGAGUGGUCGCUCGGCUUCCACACCUUGUUAGCCCUGACACUUAGCAAGUACGUGAUGCUCAGUAGUUACCACUGUGUUGUUUGACUCUCAUGAUGCCUGUCGGGAAAUUCAGAGUGGGCGUUUCUACCAUCACCUGACAAAGAGAAGACCAAGGCAAUGAGAACUUACAGGCCUUAACCUGAGGGCACACAGCUAGUCAGUCACAGGAAACCUCUUGUGCUGCCCACUCCAGACCAGGGGAUUUCACUUCCGGACUCUACACUAGAAACUAGAGAAUGGAAAACCAAGGAAUAAUGAGUGUGGGUGAGCAGGGAAGAGCUGACCCAGCAGGCCUGAGUUGUCCAAACCCCAUAUACUUCAGAGAAAGUCUGGCAUUUGACUGGUUCCUGGGAGAUAACCUCUGAGCCUUCGGAAUAUCCCGACUGAUAAGAGUGCCUUUGUGACCCUGGAGCCUUGGCCACACUCGACAGUCUGUGCUAACAGUGUCAUUUAAGGUGGGGGCCUCAGGCCACCCUGUAUCAGUCUGACCUCUGGAGAGGCUGGAAUCCAAGUAGCUAAGUUCAGUAACGAGGGCAUGAUCUACACGACUGACCUCAAUGAAAUCUCUGCACACCAAGGCUUAGGCGAGCUUCCCUGGCUGGCAACCCUUUGUACUUAUGGUCACACACAGUUCCUGGGAGAGUUCGGCACAGUCUGCACGACUCCACUGGGAGCAGACAAUAGGAAGCUCACCACUGGAGCUCCCCUGGGCUCUGCCCUGCGCACCUGUCCCCUUUCUGAUUUUAAUCUGUAUUCUUUCACUGUAACAAACAUGUAUAUGACAGCUUUUCUGAGUUCUAGGAAUCCCUCUAGUGAGUCAUUGAAUCUGAGGUUAGUCUUGGGCACUCCCGACACAGUGAGCAACUGAGGAUCUGCUGCUGCACCGUGGAGAGGGAGGCCCUGACAUCUGGACUCUGCAAUGACGUUUGGAACCACUUGCUUUUUCUUCAGCAGUGGCCCCCUCCCUUCCUCCUUCCCUGCCAUGCCUAGGCCACUACUGUUGUCCCAGUGUUAGGCUACAAAGAGUAAGUCUGAGAUGCACCCUUGUUGGGGUGGCUUUUCUAAGAAUGAUUGCUUUUCAAAAGGUGUUGUGCUGGGCUGGGGGAGACAGGAAGCCUGCCUUCCUUCCAGCAGGUUUGGUUUUCCUUCAGGAAAUAGACAAAUUGAAUCUGAGGACAUAUUGUAUUUGAUUGUUGAGUCAAACACUGACCCACGGUUGCAAACAUAGUAUUUAUUUCCCCGCUCCUUGCACAGGUUUAGAAGAGGGUCCGGAGGCUCUUACACCACCGGCAUUCUGGCAAGCCCAACCGAGAUGACUUGAGAGCUAACCUGUGACCCCAAACUGUGGGAUUUUCAUCCCUGACUGAUUUUAUUUCUGGGUAGAGUCUAAAAAACAAGCUAAGUUGUCUGUAUGAUCAGGAUCUCAGCAGCAAGUGAGGAGGAGAGUGAGAGUUGGGAAGGGUUGGGGGGAGGAAGCUGUAAACCAUGUGCAGCCUUGGUAAGUAGCUUCUCAGCCAGCAUGUUGGUUUCAGUUCACGUUGCUACUAAAUAAAAGUGUUGUAUUCUUGUUUUUUU